ACUAGAAACCAUUACAUAAUUAACUUUCUAAAAAUUCACCAAUAUAAACAUGAAGGCAAAAAUCAGUUUUUUUAGAAAAAAUUAUCUUACAUUCUCUAUACCAUUGCACAAGGCAAACCUAAGUUGUAGUAAUCUUUGGAAGAAUAACAUGUAAAAAAUAUUGCUCUGACUUGCUAUUUACAGAGAGAUGGUAAAAAGAUAGGAAUAUUUAAACUAAGGUAAGACCAUCAUGAAGAUAAAUUUAGUUUUCACAGCUAUGCUUCCUUAUGGCCAUGAGGCCUAUUGUGAGAUUCCUAGAAAUUAGUUCCAGUUUUGAAAGGUUACUCUUGGUUGAUACUUUUCAUCAUGCUUUUAUAGGUGCAUAAAUGAUCAUGUAAUAAAAUAGGUUAUAUUGCUAUUUCUUGGAUACUUUGUCUUAUAUUAAAUCUAGGUACCCUUUCUCCUCUCUGUGAUAUUUCUCCCGCUUAGCUCUGUGAUGUUGCAUGCACAGUACCACACAAUCAAAGCACAGUUCCAGAACCAUCUGUGUCUUUCCUUGUGCCCCCAACUAAGGAACUGAAAGAGUCUACCUAAUUGUACUCCCUCCUAUCUCUUGACUUUCUUUUACCUUCUUUAUAAAUUUCAGAGAGAGGUAAAGAUAAUACAUGGCUUGUAAAACUUAUUUUAACUUUUUAAUAGAUAAAUCAUCAUAAUAUUGCAUAAUCUUUACAAAAAUAUUUUUUCAAAGGCAAAAACAUACCUGCGAAGCUGUAGAUCAUUACGGUGAUAUGAAUGACUGCUUGAAAGAACAAUAACUUUGGCAAGGUUACUACUUUUCACCCAUGAAAGCAGUUUUUCACAGAAUGGCUUUGAUUUAUACUU